CCAUAUGGCCAUAUGAGACUGAAUGCGCACCUACAACUUAUCUGAUUUUGGAAGCUAAACAGUCACGGGUUUGACUAGUACUUGGAUAGGAGCCCAGCCUUGAAUCCCGGGUGCUGUAGGCA
rnacentral:rRNA from 1 species